UGACAUACCACUUGUUGCCUCGGCGGAUCAGCCCGCUCCCGGUAAAACGGGACGGCCCGCCAGAGGACCCCUAAACUCUGUUUCUAUAUGUAACUUCUGAGUAAAACCAUAAAUAAAUCAAAACUUUCAACAACGGAUCUCUUGGUUCUGGCAUCGAUGAAGAACGCAGCAAAAUGCGAUAAGUAAUGUGAAUUGCAGAAUUCAGUGAAUCAUCGAAUCUUUGAACGCACAUUGCGCCCGCCAGUAUUCUGGCGGGCAUGCCUGUUCGAGCGUCAUUUCAACCCUCAAGCACAGCUUGGUGUUGGGACUCGCGUUAAUUCGCGUUCCUCAAAUUGAUUGGCGGUCACGUCGAGCUUCCAUAGCGUAGUAGUAAAACCCUCGUUACUGGUAAUCGUCGCGGCCACGCCGUUAAACCCCAACUUCUGAAUGUUGACCUCGGAUCAGGUAGGAAUACCCGCUGAACUUAAGCAUAUCAAUAA
rnacentral:rRNA from 1 species